CCAUGACAUAACAGGUCCACAGAUCAGGAAAACAGCUCAUUACAUAAAGGGGGAAAUCAGAUUCACACACUACCUCGACUUUAGCCCAAACCCAGAUGGCAGAGUCUCCUCCAGGGUGGGAAAGUAGCCAUAAGCAUCCGUUUCAGUCACUCCACAUGUGUAUUCACACGACCUGCGGGGCGCCCCAGAGGCCAGGCGGCCGCUGGUUCUGGGGACGUUUUUCAGAAGAGCAAACGCACCGGAUGGCAGGUUUUGGAAAUGUUUCCCCUAAAGCAGACCCCAAAACCCAGCAGCGCUGAGCACUCAGGACCGUUUGUAUCUGUGUUAUUGCCCAUGAGAGAAUAGAUGGCAUGCAAAGACAUUAUUAUUAAAGUUGGUAGUGCAAGAACACACAGCAAAUUUAUGUCUUGUAGUCUAGAUAAAAUAUUACAGUCUCUGCUACAAUUUCAGCAGGCUCACUGGGGCCUGUGACCCCAGCAUCCUGGGAGCUCCACGUAGCCCACCUUAGCGCUGGGGUCCAAAGCCCUCAUCCAACUCACACCUCGCACUCCUGCCACUCACAGGUGAGACUGAGCUGCUGGGAACAUGGGGCCGUGCUGACUUUCCUUGUGCCUGCCCUGGCGUGAACACAGGACAUCCUGCACGGAGCAUGGGGAGGGGUGUGGUGGGUGUUCCUUGGCUUCCGGUUUCAUGUCCCCAGUCAUCACACCCUCCUGAGCAGUGGCUAUCUCGGGUCACAGUCCUCCUGGAGCGUGGACUGGCAUAACCACAACAAUGACCAGGUUGUGGACGAACGGCUUUAAGGUGAUAUUUGAAAUUUUGCAGCUGGGUCUCCAGGUUUGAUCUGUCUCAAGGUUAACCCCUGUAACUUCUAA
rnacentral:lncRNA from 10 species